rnacentral:rRNA from 1 species
AGAGUUUGAUCCUGGCUCAGAUUGAACGCUGGCGGCAUGCCUUACACAUGCAAGUCGAACGGUAACGCGGGGCAACCUGGCGACGAGUGGCGAACGGGUGAGUAACGCAUCGGAACGUGCCCAGUAGUGGGGGAUAGCCCGGCGAAAGCCGGAUUAAUACCGCAUACGACCUACGGGUGAAAGCGGGGGACCGUAAGGCCUCGCGCUAUUGGAGCGGCCGAUGUCAGAUUAGGUAGUUGGUGGGGUAAAAGCCUACCAAGCCGACGAUCUGUAGCUGGUCUGAGAGGACGACCAGCCACACUGGGACUGAGACACGGCCCAGACUCCUACGGGAGGCAGCAGUGGGGAAUUUUGGACAAUGGGCGCAAGCCUGAUCCAGCCAUGCCGCGUGCGGGAUGAAGGCCUUCGGGUUGUAAACCGCUUUUGUCAGGGAAGAAACGCUCCGGGCCAAUACCCUGGGGUAAUGACGGUACCUGAAGAAUAAGCACCGGCUAACUACGUGCCAGCAGCCGCGGUAAUACGUAGGGUGCAAGCGUUAAUCGGAAUUACUGGGCGUANAGCGUGCGCAGGCGGUUUUGUA